CCGAGAGGAGGGAGCGGCGCGGCAGUGAAACACACUGCGGCGUACCGACCGAGGCACACGUCGAGAAGUAGACAGCGCAACAGCAACGGCAGCGAAAACCUAGCGGUGGGAGGUCCGGAGUUGUGGGGGUUGUGCUGUGGCAGACCGGCCGACGCGCGCAGGCUGGGGGCGACCACGGGGGGCGGGCAUCGCUACCUGUGGCGCGCACCCGGCCAGCGUGCACCCUUGCCAUGCUGGCUUGUGGAGGCGGGGGGAAGAGGUGGAGGCUUAUACCUGGUAGCUUGGCAACCUAGCAUCAGCAGGUGACAUGAAAGUAGUGGAACUGUAGGUUUUCGUGUGUGCGGGAAGGGUUGUUUGUGUGUGCGUGCUCCCGGGAGUAUCGAGCACAC
rnacentral:lncRNA from 1 species